UACGUAGGGUGCAAGCGUUAAUCGGAAUUACUGGGCGUAAAGCGUGCGCAGGCGGUUUUGUAAGCCAGAUGUGAAAGCCCCGGGCUUAACCUGGGAAUGGCAUUUGGGACUGCAAGGCUUGAGUGCGGCAGAGGAGACUGGAAUUCCUGGUGUAGCAGUGAAAUGCGUAGAUAUCAGGAGGAAUACCGAUGGCGAAGGCAGGUCUCUGGGCUGACACUGACGCUCAUGCACGAAGGCGUGGGGAGCAAACAGG
rnacentral:rRNA from 1 species